rnacentral:rRNA from 1 species
AUACGUAGGUGGCAAGCGUUGUCCGGAAUUAUUGGGCGUAAAGCGCGCGCAGGUGGUUCCUUAAGUCUGAUGUGAAAGCCCCCGGCUCAACCGGGGAGGGUCAUUGGAAACUGGGGAACUUGAGUGCAGAAGAGGAUAGUGGAAUUCCAAGUGUAGCGGUGAAAUGCGUAGAGAUUUGGAGGAACACCAGUGGCGAAGGCGACUGUCUGGUCUGUAACUGACACUGAGGCGCGAAAGCGUGGGGAGCAAACAGGACUAGAUACCCUGGUAGUCCACGCCGUAAACGAUGAGUGCUAAGUGUUGGGGGUUUCCGCCCCUCAGUGCUGCAGCUAACGCAUUAAGCACUCCGCCUGGGGAGUACGGUCGCAAGACUGAAACUCAAAUGAAUUGGCGGGG